rnacentral:rRNA from 1 species
CCUACGGGUGGCAGCAGUGAGGAAUAUUGGUCAAUGGGCUUACGCCUGAACCAGCCAAGUCGCGUGAGGGAAGACUGCCCUAUGGGUUGUAAACCCCUUUUGUCAGGGAGCAACGCCUGCUGCGUGUAGCCGGACUGAGAGUACCUGAAGAAAAAGCAUCGGCUAACUCCGUGCCAGCAGCCGCGGUAAUACGGAGGAUGCGAGCGUGAGCCGGAUUGAUUGGGUUUAAGGGGUGCGUAGGCGGAAUGCCAAGUCAGCGGUAAAACCGCGGGGCUCAACCUCGCUCCGCCGUUGAAACUGGCGUUCUUGAGUGGGCGAGAAGUAUGCAGAAUGCGAGGUGUAGCGGUGAAAUGCAUAGAUAUCACGCAGAACUCCGACUGCGAAGGCAGCAUACCGG